rnacentral:rRNA from 1 species
AUUGAACGCUGGCGGCAGGCUUAACACAUGCAAGUCGAACGGUAGCAGGAGAAAGCUUGCUUUCUUGCUGACGAGUGGCGGACGGGUGAGUAAUGCUUGGGAAUCUGGCUUAUGGAGGGGGAUAACGACGGGAAACUGUCGCUAAUACCGCGUAUUAUCGGAAGAUGAAAGUGCGGGACUGAGAGGCCGCAUGCCAUAGGAUGAGCCCAAGUGGGAUUAGGUAGUUGGUGGGGUAAAUGCCUACCAAGCCUGCGAUCUCUAGCUGGUCUGAGAGGAUGACCAGCCACACUGGAACUGAGACACGGUCCAGACUCCUACGGGAGGCAGCAGUGGGGAAUAUUGCGCAAUGGGGGGAACCCUGACGCAGCCAUGCCGCGUGAAUGAAGAAGGCCUUAGGGUUGUAAAGUUCUUUCGGUAUUGAGGAAGGUUGAUGUGUUAAUAGCACAUCAAAUUGACGUUAAAUACAGAAGAAGCACCGGCUAACUCCGUGCCAGCAGCCGCGGUAAUACGGAGGGUGCGAGCGUUAAUCGGAAUAACUGGGCGUAAAGGGCACGCAGGCGGUUAUUUAAGUGAGGUGUGAAAGCCCCGGGCUUAACCUGGGAAUUGCAUUUCAGACUGGGUAACUAGAGUACUUUAGGGAGGGGUAGAAUUCCACGUGUAGCGGUGAAAUGCGUAGAGAUGUGGAGGAAUACCGAAGGCGAAGGCAGCCCCUUGGGAAUGUACUGACGCUCAUGUGCGAAAGCGUGGGGAGCAAACAGG